GGCUUUCGGCCUCUUUACAAAUGAGAUGAAAUGAACUCCUUUGUCCUGCGGCCAGCUGGUCCUUGUGUGAGCACCGAGACUUGAGUUUAGAGGACCCCGAGUGCCUUCGGGCUCUGCUUUGUCACUUGACCUAAGGUGCUUAUCGGGCACCUCGGUCAUCCAUCACCUCGCUGCGGUCCAUUUUGGGUACACAUCGUACCGUGGGGUCAGCGUCCUCCAGGUCCAACACAGCUUUGGGGAUGUUUUAGCCCUGCGCCCAUUAAACCGAGCUGUGUUAUCCUCAAUAAAAAGUUCAGAAUUUGCACAUUUUCUGUUAUUUUGCAUACAGCUCAAUAGCUCUCUGCUUCCUUUUAGAGGAAGGGGCCUGGAGGAACCUGCUGGAUCACUGCAUUUAGGACAGUAUAAAGGGUUAUUUUUUAAGCAUUCAGUCGCUGUAUUUGCUUUUCCUCUUGGAGCCAUAACUCUGAGCUCCGUGGUAUUCAGAAUGCGCGAUGUCUCAAAGUGCGAGAAAGGGGUCAGUGGGUUCGGGGACAAAGACCACAGGGGCACUUAGCUGGAAUGAAUGCUCAGGAAGCACCAGCGUCUCCUGGGAAACCACUCUGAUAGGGGGGUGUUUGCAGGAGGCGGGUGCGUGCGUGCCGUCACGUGGGUGUCUGCCAGAAGGACCUUUCCUCGUUGCCACAUCAGCAGCCGCUCUCAGCUUUCAAGGGCUUCCCGCGUGCCGCACAGGGACCCGCAGCGAGCGUCAGUCCCUCCUCCCCAUGCAGCGCCGCUCAUAAAGGCGGGUGUCAGCCCUCUGGUUGGAAACAUACUCGAGGCUCGCUUCGUGUGUUUAUCCAGAGAAACGCAUUUUCUUUCUCCUUCCUUGUCUGGAAAGUCGCUGCUCAGUAGGGAAACGUCCUCUCACCCGAGGAAUGCUGCUCUUCCUCUUGCCUGCUCUCUCCCGCCCCGUCGGCACAUAGCGCACACUGGCCGGACACGCCUUCGUGCAGGAAACCUG
rnacentral:lncRNA from 1 species